AGCGAACGCUGGCGGCAUGCCUAACACAUGCAAGUCGAACGAGACCUUCGGGUCUAGUGGCGCACGGGUGCGUAACGCGUGGGAACCUGCCCUUAGGUUCGGAAUAACUCCCCGAAAGGGGUGCUAAUACCGGAUAAUGUCUUCGGACCGAAGAUUUAUCGCCUUUGGAUGGGCCCGCGUUGGAUUAGCUAGUUGGUAGGGUAAAAGCCUACCAAGGCGACGAUCCAUAGCUGGUCUGAGAGGAUGAUCAGCCACACUGGGACUGAGACACGGCCCAGACUCCUACGGGAGGCAGCAGUGGGGAAUAUUGGACAAUGGGCGAAAGCCUGAUCCAGCAAUGCCGCGUGAGUGAUGAAGGCCUUAGGGUUGUAAAGCUCUUUUACCCGGGAUGAUAAUGACAGUACCGGGAGAAUAAGCUCCGGCUAACUCCGUG
rnacentral:rRNA from 1 species